rnacentral:lncRNA from 1 species
CCAAAGCUUUUUACCUGCUUUCUUCCACCUAUACGUCGCUUUCAGAGCCAACAGAGGGGCAGUUCCGGUAUUUUCUAGAGUAAGUUGACCUUUGCAAUAUUUACCGUUUGAUUUAAGAAUUAUUAUUAUUUUAAAAUUCCUUUUGAAAGAUAAAAUGGACGUCUUGAUCCAUCAAGGUGGACCCGUCAUCACCAUGGAUUAAAAGAGGUGAUGGGCCCGGUGUGGGGCCAUUUGGCAAUGGAAGGAGUGUAUCGUGUCGAUCAACAUGUGAUUUCCUUUCGCUCAAAGGAGAUUCCCUAUACUACAGUUUGUAGAGUGUGUGGGGCAUGCUUUAUUGAUAUUUAUGAUUAGUGUUUCUUCCUUUUUCUUUAAGGCAAAAGCUACAAUUAAAUUUCCGGC